rnacentral:rRNA from 1 species
GUCCACGCCGUAAACGAUGCAUACAAGUUGUAGCUGGGAUUGACUCCGGCUGUGACGAAGCUAACGCAAGUAGUAUGCCGCCUGGGGAGUACGGUCGCAAGACUAAAACUCAAAGGAAUUGAAGGGGCCCGCACAAGCGGUGGAUUAUGUGGUUCAAUUCGAAGCAACGCGAAAAACCUUAACCUGGAUUUGACAUGUCACGACAACUGAAGAAAUUCAGCUUUCUCGCAAGAGACGUGAACACAGGUGCUACAUGGCUGUCGU